rnacentral:tRNA from 1 species
GCACUAGUAGCUCAGCGCUAGAGCGUCGGUCUUGUAAGCCGAAUGUCGGAGGUUAAAAUCCUCCCUACUGCU